UAGUUAUGAUGAUAUCUUGGUAAUGCAGCAGAAUUCUGAUUGUGCUGUAGAGAAGCCAACCUUGGAGAACUGAGUAUGUA
ensembl:snoRNA SNORD39 Small nucleolar RNA SNORD55/SNORD39